AUGUAAUCAUCUAGGAUACUUAGACAUGUGAUUCCCACAUCAUGUGCCAGGAAAAAUAAAUCAGGAUCCCUGGAGAUGGGAGCAGAAUCCAAGACAUACAAGUAAUUCUAAUAAGCUUCCCCCCUUUCCUUUAUAUUGUAAAUGCAGUGAAAGAAGAAAACAUGACCUACAUGGAACUCUGGCCCCCAUGGCCAAGGUCAAAGUCAUCAUCAUCAUCAUCAUCAUCAUCAUCAUCCACCCACACUGCCCUUCUGUUAUUAAAGCGUGUAUUUUACCAUAAUGGAUCGUAUUCAUCAUGAGUAACCUGAUUAUUCCCUUGUGAUCUCCUCC
rnacentral:lncRNA from 1 species